rnacentral:rRNA from 1 species
ACUGGGCGUAAAGGGCGUGCAGGCGGCCUGGUCAGUGAGAUGUGAAAGCUCCUGGCUCAACCAGGGAACUGCAUCUCAUACUGCCAGGCUUGAGGACGGGAGAGGAGACGGGAAUUCCCGGUGUAGCGGUGAAAUGCACUGAUAUCGGGAGGAACACCAGUGGCGAAGGCGCGUCUCUGGCCCGAUCCUGACGCUCAGGCGCGAAAGCUGGGGGAGCAAACAGGAUUAGAUACCCUGGUAGUCCCAGCUGUAAACGGUGAACACUAGGUGUGGGGGGGCAUCGACCCCUUCCGUGCCGCAGCUAACGCAUUAAGUGUUCCGCCUGGGGAGUACGACCGCAAGGUUGAAACUCAAAGGAAUUGACGGGGGCCCGCACAAGCGGUGGAGCAUGUGGUUUAAUUCGAUGCAACGCGCAGAACCUUACCCAGGCUUGACAUGCACUGGACAGGUGUGGAAACACACCCUCUCUUCGGAGUCGGUGCACAGGUGCUGCAUGGCUGUCGUCAGCUCGUGUCGUGAGAUGUUGGGUUAAGUCCCGCAACGAGCGCAACCCUUGCCCUUAGUUGCCAGCAUUUCGGAUGGGCACUCUAAGGGGACUGCCGGCGAUGAGCCGGAGGAAGGUGGGGAUGACGUCAAGUCCUCAUGGUCCUUAUGUCUGGGGCUACACACGUGCUACAAUGGCCGGUACAGAGAGUCGCGAUGCCGCGAGGUGGAGCUAAUCCCAAAAAGCCGGUCUCAGUUCGGAUUGCAGUCUGCAACUCGACUGCAUGAAGCUGGAAUCGCUAG